GCCAUUUCCUACAAUUGAUUUUUUUUUCUGCCCCACGUCUACACAUGUUAGUCAUCGGGUUCUGCCCCACGUCUACACGUGUUGGUCAUCGGGAAAAAAAAAACGGUGGAAAGGCGAGGAAAGCAGUCGAAAAAACUCAUUUGUUUCUAUUCGCUGAUCUCAGAAGGGGUAUCCCCUCCAUUCGCCAUUCUCGAGUUCUCUCGAUGACGUCUUCUCUACCCUGCCUUCUGCAAUUUGCUCCACCGUGGCAAUAGCCUUUGUGCUUUCUUCCACCCCGUAGAACCCGCUCGAUUGUCUGGGUCUUGCGAUUUUGUGAUAAUCUUUCAUGCGAAAACAACAACAUUCGAGCUUUGCAUGCUCGAAUCUACCCCUCGAUCGAAGAGUUCAAUUAGCCCAGCUUGUGGGUGGGUUUUUCCAACGAAGAUGCGAGUUUUUCCCGGCCAAUUUCAAGCAUAUUUCCAACCUUUUUUGGGUCGGCGAAGAUGCAUAUUUUGCAAAUGAUGAAUCUAGAGCACAUGAAAAGUCUGCCAUACCAUAGUGCAUAUAGCAAAGUCGUCUUUUCACUGUGCAGCUACUAGCAACUAGUUACAGAGCUUCCUAAAAUUGCAGUUGUCAAUCUGGAUCUUGCCAACGAUGCAUUGUCAUAUCCUUUUCAAUUUUUUCAUGUUUUGUUGUUCAUAAUUUCGUUGUGUGAUUAAUAUAAGGAAGCCCCUAUAAGAUUUUGGUUUUUUUGUGGGGUUUUAAGUUUUUUCAUGGCUUCAAUUUUUGUUUUUGAAUCUGUAUAUAAUGUUUGCAUUGACCAUUUCAUCGAGUUGUCAAUUUGGAUGCUGCCAAUGAUGCAUUACCAUAUCCUUUUUAGUUUUUUCGAGUUCUGUUGUUUGUAAUUUACAGUGUUGCAUUGUAUUCUAAUGUAGAACGUUGAGCCUUUACGUGAAUUUAGUUAUGAACAUUCUGUCAACAUGGAGGAUCUUAUAAAACUCAGUGAUGUGAUGGUGGAGCACUCUCUUGGUUCCAAUGGAGGUUAGUGUUCUUAUUGAAUCUAUAAAAGUUCAAUACUUGGGUAAAGUAAAGAGUGGAAAUUGUUUGGUUUGGGAAUGAAGAAGGAAAACGAUGGAAAGAUAAGAAGUUAUUGGACUCUCGAAUUUUUCUUUCGAAAAUAGGUGACAAUUUGGAGAAGUUAGAUGGUAGGAACAAUGGUUACCAAUGUAAAAAGAAAUCCAUGUUAAAAGAUGUGAUGGUGGAGCACUCUCUUUUGUGUUGUUUUACUUACAGGUGUGUUUUUUGUUUUUCUUCUUUAGAAAGUUUGAUUUAUCUGUUUAACGUAUUCUUUUCAGUUUUUGCGUGCUUUGUGAAUAGUGAUUCACAGUUUGCAUUCCAUUCCAAUGUAGAUGUUGAGUGUUUUUAUGAAUUUAGUUAUAAACAUGCUGUAAACAUGAAAGAUCUUAUAAAACUCAGCAAUGUGAUGAUCAAGCACUCUAUUGGUCCCAAUCAAGGUCAGUUUUUGUUAUUAAAUGUAUAACAGUUCAAUGCUUGGGUAAAGUAAAGAGUACGAAUUUUUCACUUUCAAAAUGAAUAAGGAAAAUGAUAGAAAGUUAGAACUCCUAUAUCAUUUUGGUUCUUGGUGAGUUUUCAAAAUUUUCCUUAGCUCCCCUGAUUUUCCUUUUUAACUUUAUUUUUGUUUGUUUGGUUGGGUGAUGCAAUUUGAUCAGAUUUGGUUCAAUUGAAUAGUCCCUGAAGCAAUAAGAAGGAACUGGCUGUUCGGAUUUCUUUAGCAAGUAAUAAUUCUUAAUUACUUACAUGUUUUCAUUUUAAUUAUGAUUGGAUUGGUCCUUUCUUAUAUAAAUUCGAGCUCCACAAUAGUUGGACCAUUGAUAUGUUCUGACUGUAAAUACUAUAUAUAUAU